AGGGAUAGAGCUCAAUUGGUAGAGUGCUUGCCUUGCAUGCACAACACCCUGGGUUCAAUUCCCAGCA
rnacentral:tRNA from 1 species